rnacentral:rRNA from 1 species
CAUGGCUGUCGUCAGCUCGUGUCGUGAGAUGUUGGUUAAGUCCCGCAACGAGCGCAACCCCUAUCCUCAGUUGCCAUCAUUAAGUUGGGCACUCUGUGGAGACUGCCCGGUGUCAAACCGGAGGAAGGUGGGGAUGACGUCAAGUCCUCAUGGCCUUUAUGACCAGGGCUACACACGUACUACAAUGGCCGGUACAAAGGGCAGCGACACAGCGAUGUGAAGCGAAUCCCGAAAAGCCGGUCUCAGUCCGGAUUGGAGUCUGCAACUCGACUCCAUGAAGUUGGAAUCGCUAGUAAUCGCGGAUCAGCACGCCGCGGUGAAUACGUUCCCGGGCCUU